UGCAAGUCGAACGGCCUCUUCGGAGAUAGUGGCGGACGGGUGAGUAACGCGUGAGAAUCUGGCUCUAGGUCUGGGACAACAGAUGGAAACGUCUGCUAAUACCGGAUGUGCCGAGAGGUGAAAGGCUAGCUGCCUAGAGAUGAGCUCGCGUCAGAUUAGCUAGUAGGUGGGGUAAAAGCCUACCUAGGCGACGAUCUGUAGCUGGUCUGAGAGGACGAUCAGCCACACUGGGACUGAGACACGGCCCAGACUCCUACGGGAGGCAGCAGUGGGGAGUUUUCCGCAAUGGGCGAAAGCCUGACGGAGCAAUACCGCGUGAGGGAGGAAGGCUCUUGGGUUGUAAACCUCUUUUCUCAAGGAAUAAAAAAUGAAGGUACUUGAGGAAUAAGCAUCGGCUAACUCCGUGCCAGCAGCCGCGGUAAUACGGAGGAUGCAAGCGUUAUCCGGAAUGAUUGGGCGUAAAGCGUCCGUAGGUGGUUUUGUGUGUCUGCUGUUAAAGCGUGCGGCUUAACCGCAUAAGGGCGGUGGAAACUACAAGACUAGAGUACGUUCGGGGCAGGGGGAAUUCCCAGUGUAGCGGUGAAAUGCGUAGAGAUUGGGAAGAACACCGGUGGCGAAAGCGCCCUGCUAGGCCGUAACUGACACUGAGGGACGAAAGCUAGGGGAGCGAAUGGGAUUAGAUACCCCAGUAGUCCUAGCCGUAAACGAUGGAUACUAGGUGUUGUCUGUAUCGACCCGGACAGUGCCGUAGCUAACGCGUUAAGUAUCCCGCCUGGGGAGUACGCAGGCAACUGUGAAACUCAAAGGAAUUGACGGGGGCCCGCACAAGCGGUGGAGCAUGUGGUUUAAUUCGAUGCAACGCGAAGAACCUUACCUGCCCUUGACAUCCUCGGAACGACUCA
rnacentral:rRNA from 1 species